rnacentral:snoRNA from 1 species
GGCCGUGCGGCUGAUGACCACGCUGCUGCUGAGACUCUGUGAUGCUCAGUCUGAAGUAAACGCGCUGACGCACGGCGG